UUUUUUUGUUGUUGUUUUUGAGAAGGAGUCUCUGUCGCCCAGGCUGGAGUGCAAUGGUGCGAUCUCUGCAAACUCCGCCUCCUGAAUUAAAGCGAUUCUCCUGCCUCAGCCUCCCGAGUAGCUGACACUACAGGUGCUGGACACCAUGCCUGGCUAAUUUUUGUAUUUUUAGGAGAGAUGGGGUUUCACCGUGUUGGCCAGGCUGGUCUCGAACUCCUGGCCUCAGGUGACCCGCCUGCCUUGGCCUCCCAAAGUGCUGGGAUUACAGGCUUGAGCCAUGGUGCCUGGCUGGGGCCUGGAUUUCUGGGUCUGUGUCUAAGGGGGUGCUGGAGGCUUUGUCUCCUGGGUCCUGCCCAUGGGGGUAGGGGUAGGAGUGGGGAUGGAGAUGGGGUGGGGGCAGGGAGAAUAUUACUGGGUCCAGAGGGAGGCAGGACUGGG
rnacentral:lncRNA from 1 species